rnacentral:misc_RNA from 1 species
UUAAGUUCAGCGGGUAGUCCUACCUGAUUUGAGGUCAAAUAGUCAGUUAAGUUUGUCUUGUUACAGACGAUUAGAAGCUGUAGCCAUCUGGUAGAGUCGCAUAGUUAUCUCUCUUUCAAGAGAAGGCAAAGAGAGCUUGUUAAAACAAGCAACCCUUCAAACCCGACCUCUACCCAGCAAGAAGACCAUAGAUAUUAUCA